rnacentral:rRNA from 1 species
UUGCUACAGGCUUAACACAUGCAAGUCGAGGGGCAGCAUGGUCUUAGCUUGCUAAGGCCGAUGGCGACCGGCGCACGGGUGAGUAACACGUAUCCAACCUGCCGUCUACUCUUGGACAGCCUUCUGAAAGGAAGAUUAAUACAAGAUGGCAUCAUGAGUCCACAUGUUCACAUGAUUAAAGGUAUUCCGGUAGACGAUGGGGAUGCGUUCCAUUAGAUAGUAGGCGGGGUAACGGCCCACCUAGUCUUCGAUGGAUAGGGGUUCUGAGAGGAAGGUCCCCCACAUUGGAACUGAGACACGGUCCAAACUCCUACGGGAGGCAGCAGUGAGGAAUAUUGGUCAAUGGGCGAGAGCCUGAACCAGCCAAGUAGCGUGAAGGAUGACUGCCCUAUGGGUUGUAAACUUCUUUUAUAAAGGAAUAAAGUCGGGUAUGCAUACCCGUUUGCAUGUACUUUAUGAAUAAGGAUCGGCUAACUCCGUGCCAGCAGCCGCGGUAAUACGGAGGAUCCGAGCGUUAUCCGGAUUUAUUGGGUUUAAAGGGAGCGUAGAUGGAUGUUUAAGUCAGUUGUGAAAGUUUGCGGCUCAACCGUAAAAUUGCAGUUGAUACUGGAUAUCUUGAGUGCAGUUGAGGCAGGCGGAAUUCGUGGUGUAGCGGUGAAAUGCUUAGAUAUCACGAAGAACUCCGAUUGCGAAGGCAGCCUGCUAAGCUGCAACUGACAUUGAGGCUCGAAAGUGUGGGUAUCAAACAGGAUUAGAUACCCUGGUAGUCCACACGGUAAACGAUGAAUACUCGCUGUUUGCGAUAUACAGCAAGCGGCCAAGCGAAAGCGUUAAGUAUUCCACCUGGGGAGUACGCCGGCAACGGUGAAACUCAAAGGAAUUGACGGGGGCCCGCACAAGCGGAGGAACAUGCGGUUUAAUUCGAUGAUACGCGAGGAACCUUACCCGGGCUUAAAUUGCAGAUGAAUUACGGUGAAAGCCGUAAGCCGCAAGGCAUCUGUGAAGGUGCUGCAUGGUUGUCGUCAGCUCGUGCCGUGAGGUGUCGGCUUAAGUGCCAUAACGAGCGCAACCCUUGUUGUCAGUUACUAACAGGUCAUGCUGAGGACUCUGACAAGACUGCCAUCGUAAGAUGUGAGGAAGGUGGGGAUGACGUCAAAUCAGCACGGCCCUUACGUCCGGGGCUACACACGUGUUACAAUGGGGGGUACAGAGGGCCGCUACCACGCGAGUGGAUGCCAAUCCCAAAAACCUCUCUCAGUUCGGACUGGAGUCUGCAACCCGACUCCACGAAGCUGGAUUCGCUAGUAAUCGCGCAUCAGCCACGGCGCGGUGAAUACGUUCCCGGGCCUUGUACACACCGCCCGUCAAGCCAUGGGAGCCGGGGGUACCUGAAGUGCGUAACCGCGAGGAGCGCCCUAGGGUAAAACUGGUGACUGGGGCUAAGU